GGGGCUGUAGUUCAGUUGGGAGAACGUUUGACUGGCAGUCAAAAGGUCACGGGUUCGAGUCCCGUCAGCUCCACGA
rnacentral:tRNA from 1 species